UUCGUUUGGUUUUCCAUGGAAACACACUCACGGCUUGAGUUUUGUUUACACACUUGGGGAGCCAACAGCUACGGACAGCUGGGACAGGGACAUGCGGAGGACCAGUGUGUCCCCCGGCUCUCUGACAGCUCGGCACUGCAGGGCAGAGCAGUCCGGUCUGUGAGCGGUGGAGGGGGACACUCUGUGGUUAUCACCGAGAGUGGAGAGGUGUUUGUCUGUGGACAGAAUGACAGAGGUCAGCUAGGACUUGGCCACAACAUUAACAUCUCAACUCUUCAGCUCUGCCCCGGCUUGAAUCAGAGAGUCACACAUGUAACCUGUGGUUGGGAUUUUACUCUUCUUCUUACUGAUUAUUAUCAAGUACUGGCUUGUGGCUCUAAUGCAUUUGGACAGCUGGGUGUUGGAGAGACAACCAAACAAACUGCUGAUCUUCUGGCUGUUGUGGGUCUGAAAGAACCAAUAGUGAGUGUUGCAGCAGGACUUCGACAUUCGCUCGCCGUUAGCGACUCAGGCUGUGUGUAUCAAUGGGGAACUGGCCUUUUCAGUCACGCUAAACGAGCACUCAGUCCACACCCUGUUCCUUCACACCUGUGCUCCAGGGUUCCUUACUUGGUUCCAGGUCUCAACCAGAGGAAACCACAACUGGUAGCAGCAGGUUCAGCUCACUGUGCGUGCCUUACAGAAGAAGGUGAUUUAUUUCUGUGGGGAAGCAACAAACAUGGCCAGCUGACCACAGCUGAGCCUUUUCUGCCCACUCCCACUCUCCUGAAGCCUUGUCUGUUUAAAGCAGAGAAAGUUCUGAAAGUUUGGAGCGGCUGGACCCACAACGUUGCUCAAACAGAAAGUGGCAAAGUGUUCACAUGGGGCAGAGGAGAUUAUGGACAGCUGGGUCGACGAGUCUCGACCAGUCAGAAAACAGAGCAGCACGCCGAUGGUUCUGUAGCAGAAGGUGGCAGCCAAACCAAAGAGAAUUGCCUCCCAGAAGAAAUUAAAGUUCUUAUCGGAGCAACACAGAUUUCUUGUGGAUCUGAACAUAACCUUGCCAUUGUAGGUGAGUCUCUUCUGUUUUUUGUUUUGUUUUGUUUUUUUGUUUUGUUUUGUUCUCUCAACACAAGAUUAAAAUCUGCACAAAAAGAUAACUGAAGGAGGAGAUUUAUGGCAAAAUGGAAGAAAAGUGUGAAAUGAAUCCCCUUUCAGGCAAACACUGUUUUCCAUCUGGCUGCAGCUGAACACAUUAUAUUUGAAUGAUCAUUCUUAUUCUUUUUUAAUUUUGCAACAUUUUAUUCCAGUUCAAACCUGGUACAUCUGAGCAUCACUUACAACACAAUGAAAGCUCUGGCGUGUUGUGGUUAUUUUUGUAAAUGCGCUCCUUUUUUGAAGACAUUUGAUGAGCUGUAAUUAAAUAAAAAACAGGCAGGUCUUUUUCUCAACCAUGUUUAGCUGCAGCACCAAAGCAUCUCUUCACAACUUCAAUUAAAAAAAGGAAAAAUCUCUCAUUUGACUAAAAUAUUUGUUUUUCUUUUCUGAAGAAUGAGCAUGUUAAAAAACAUAAAGUUUCUCACAUGAAGCGAGGAUGAUAAAGAUGGUUUAAUUGAAUGAAGUAAAAUAAAGUAUUUUUUUUAUUUAAUACUGUAAUUUAACUGGUGGCCCUUGGGCCAUGUUCUGUCUGUGAGCUCAUUCUAUCCAGCCUGUAAAAUAUUACAGUUUUAAUAAAACAGGCCAUGCAUUUCUUCUGAUUUUAGCUAAAUGCACUUGUAAAAUUUUCAGCAAAGUUGUUUUAAUGUUGGAGCAUCCAUUCACAGCAAAUAUAACUGUUGAAAUAAUUACUCCAUGUUUGCUUCUAACGUAGUCUGUUCCUCUCUCUCUCUCAUGAAAGUAAUAUGAGCUCCGCAUUUUAUCAAUUCACUGCAUUAGUUGCAUUUUUUUCAGACAUUAAUGUUCUCUAACUCAAAGCUCUCAUUAGUCAUUCUUUAAUAUUAACAUUUAUUGAAUGCAUAGUGAUUCAGACAUAAAAACUGGAAAAAAUGGAAAAUUAUGUGCACCUUGUAGAAAAAACCUACAAAAAAAAUCUAUUUAUGACAACAAAAAAGGAAAUAAAAUAGGUCAACUAUAAUUAACAUAAAUGGGACUAAUCAACGUGGUAAAUGUUUAAAACAAUCAAAAUCUCUCCAUUCUCUUUUAUAAACAACCACAGUACGUUUGACACUCUAUCAAUCUUUACCACAGUGUGACUCGUCAUUUUCUUUAAUACACUUAUUUAACAUACUGUUCAUUCAUGUGCAGAUUGCAACUGUUACAUGUGCAACUCUGGAUCUUGUAAGUGAAUGAAAAGAAUAAAACCAUGUGGAAAAGUACUUUAAACAGGAGUCUGAAUGACUUCAAGUCAUCAUUAUAACAAACUGAUGAAGCCAGUAAUGUUUUGUAUCUCUCGUCUGAAAAGAGCUUUAUUGGUUUCUAAAAGUGCUAAGGAUUGAAACACGAGCCGCCUCUGUUGGCCUGACAUGGCUGCUUAAAGAAACACAGAAGACACACAGGUGAGACCAACUUAUUUCAACUUAUCCAUCUUAUGGUACUAAAGAAUCAGUAAGGGAACUAUCUAAUACAUUAUAAUUGAAGCACAGUGUAAAAAGUUAAUCUGAGUAAAGCUGCAGAGAGGUUUUGAGGUCGGCUCUUUGCUCUGUGGCUCUUCAUCAAGCAGUAAUUACAACAUUACAGAUGGAUAUCAUCGACAGAGGCGAUUACCCCAACAAGCUUUUGAAGAAGCUAUAUUAACCACAUUUACAGGCACUGCCUUUUUUUUCUGGUUAAAUGGUUAGAGAGCAGCUUCAAUCAUUUUCACUACAGCCACAAACAGUGAUUAGUGAUCUACAUCAAAUCCUGUAGAGAUUAAGUGUGCUUUAAGAAAAAUACUUUUCAUAAAUCGUUUCUGCCUUUCCAAAUUUUUAAGUAUAAAUGUGAAACAUUUUGGAUGUAAAGUCUCUCACAUUAAAUUUUGAACAGCGACCCAGUUUUUUACAUCAGCAUGAAUAUAAAAAUACCACAGAUGAACACUAAAAAUGCAGGAGUUCCAUUAGAGAGGAAACUUGAACAUUGCUGGUAUCGCCAUAAACAUGCAUGCCACCUGCUUUCAAUCUUGCUGAUCAGCCGUGAAAUAAUAACGGACAUGCAGUGAGGGAGCGUUUUAGCAAUGACCGUCCAUCUUGGCAAAAGUUGGCCAUAAGCGCUGUUUGGUGCUUUAAAAGUUCAUGUAAUGGAUGAGAGCAGGGCUGGUGUGAACUUCCAUAAUGUCGCUCCUCUGCUACGCUCCCUCCUCCUUUCUCUUCUUGUGUCUCAGCUCUGGUGACAGGAGCAGUGAAAUAGCAAAACAGGAUUGGAAGCAGAGACCUGAGCGUUGCUAUUUCUGGUGCUGAAGUAGGUCAGGCGGAAAAGAAUAAAGAGCGUUGCACGCUGCUUUAUGAUAUCUGUUGCCUGCUCGGCCCGGGCUCGUUCGCACCUGAGCCAGUGGUCCUCACGCAUGAAAUUCAUCAUCGGCGGUCAGAGCUGGGAGACAGGCCAAAGACUCUGUGGGCACAGCUCAUCCAAUCUGAGGGGAAAACGCUCAUGUGAAUAGCACACCUAAACUCUACUGUGGAAGCACAAACACCUUAGACUUAACUUUAUUUACUUCCACCUUUAGAUUCAUGCAAGUUAGUUUGGAUAUAAAAAAAAGGUGGGGGCGGAGAAGCAGCCCCUGCAGAUGAUGUCACUGAGGUUUUGUUAUUGGGUGUGAAACAUUUUAAAAAGUCCAAUUGGAAAAUCUGUGAACGGAUUUGUUUACCAGGAAAUGGCUUUGUUGUGCAGAGUAUUGUGCUGGCACUUUGUUGCCAUGGAAACACUGAUGUGCUGUACUCUAGUCAGUGAAUCCAUGAAUUAAGCACAGUGUUAAUAAAGCUUUUUUUUUUCUUCUUUCCCCUCCAAGAGCAUGCUUGAACACAUGAAGUUUACCGACAGUAAGAACUGUUUACUGAAUGCACUGAACCAGAGAUCAUGCAGUCUGCCUAUGGACUCAUGCUGGAUCUUAAAGACGGGGCUACAAGUGCUUUUGUAAUGCGAAAGCUGUCUCUGGCAGAAAGUCACGCCGACAUAAGCUUGCUGGCGUGAUAUCUCUGCGCUAACCGGUGGAAGCAUACGUGUCUGCUGGAGGCUCCAAAUGUCCGAGUGACCGGCUGAAAACAAGAGGAACUGGCUCCGUGACAUUGUGUGAAAACAUGAAAAGCUCACGACGAGAGGAGCUCGAAGACGUGUUACCCUCGAGGAGGCAAGCUCGCUUCUGUUGCCAUGGCAACGGAGCCGGUUAGGUAACUGUGUUGCCAUGGCACGUGUCUCCUCGGUGAUGCGGGCCUGACCACACCCACCCAACGAGCUCACCAGCUGUGAAGAGCGGGGAGGCUUUAUUGCCGGCCGAGUGUCGAGAUCAGAGGAGCUCUGCGUGUGAUUGGGGCCGUCUCCUCUCGUGGGGCUGGAACGAGCACGGCAUGUGUGGAGACGGUUCUCAGGCUGACGUCUUUCAGCCUCGGCUCGUUUCUGAUC